AUUCUACUGACUCCAAGUUCACGCAGCUGUUCAUCCCCUGCUUAAUGUACUGGGUUCAACAGAUGGCUAAGGUUGAUGUUUCUGCUCGAGAGUCAUCUUCAUGGAUUUGCAGAAGACCCCACUCCUGAAAUCCCUUUCACCUGGGCCGAUGCAUCUAAUUAUGAUGGUAGAUUGAAAGCUUUUCAGCUCCCAGGGACACAGCAUUCAUUUCCAUCUUCUCCUGUGGGGAUCCCUGGCCCAUCUAGUUGGAUUUCUUAGAAGGACUUAAGGGCUCUACAUUGGUUCUCUCUCCCACAUAAAACAAGGAAGGGAGCAUAUUUGCUCCUUUAUUCCAGCACUCUGAAGUGCAGGCAGGCCCUCCCCAAGGCAGUGACCCCUACCCCUCUACCUGAAGCCACUAUGCCUUUGGCAGUCAUGAGUCAAGCUGAGCCCAUAUUUCCCACACAUUCCAUGGCCCUCUGAAUCAUUACGUAGUCACUCCUCACUAGACUUGGGAUGGAAUGGGGUACCACUACCUGUGGAAGAAGAAUGACACCAUGGCCAGUAACAGCUCUCUCCCAAGGCAUCUCUCCACUGUGCUCUCUUUCCCUCUCCUCUGUAAAUACUUUUAUAGCCUUGAAAAAAAGGAGGAGACAUAAGAAUUAUGCAAUAGUUUUUUUUUAACCUUUGUAAAAUCUGUUUAUAGUAAACUCUCUCAUACACAUCUUGUUAUCUGAUGUUAAUUAUUGGAACCUCAUUCAAAGCUAUGUUAGAAAGAGCCCCAUUUAAGCUUCUCUUAAAUUUAUAAAAGAAAAUUGUUCAUAAAUUAAAUUAUAAGGAAAAGAAAGUUGAUUUUCUAUAUUCUUCCAUGUUUGAUCUUUCCACAUGGUCAUGGAAACCACCUCACGCCUCUUAAUUUUUUAGUUCUUUUGACAGAAAACACAGAAACUAUGGUUCCCAACACCAUAGGGCAGUACUACCACAGUCUCCACCACCUCAAGCAAUAGACUUUCCAACCUCUUCUCUCCAUUAAACUUCUCUAUUACCAGACUCUUACUAAAUUAUCUUACUAAAGAUAGUUUUUGAAUGUCUCUCUUGUGCUAAGAAUUGUAGAGUUCUGGUGGCAGAAGAUGACAGAGAGUUUUUUUUCUUUUUGUCCUAGAAGAAUUUAUAGUUUAUUCUAGUUCUUUCCAUUGGAAUCUGAAACAAUAUACAAAAACAGUGCAAUAGUUUUUUUCAAUACAUUUUGAUCAAUGUGGAAAUACAUUUUUGUAACAGUUGAGGAUUCAUACUGUAUAUUAUAACGUUGGUCAGAAUAACUGAGUCUGAUGAUUGAGUUGGGAGACGCAUGGUGGGGCACGGAAGAAUGUGCCCCUUUAGGUCAGAGGUAAGCUGGUGCCACCAAAAGGAACUUUGUUUAUCACAAUCCACUAGAACUUUUAAUUUCUUUGUGUUUGUAUUUUCUUUCAUAGGACAAGGUCAGGGAAAUAAGCAUUUCUACUCAAACUCCCAAAUAGUACUGAAAGAAUACCAAAUGAAUAGGACUAUAAUGGUAUAUUUUAAACAUUUUUUUCAAAAGAAUUGGCAUUUACCUUUUAACUCCUUCAAUGUCACCCUAAGCUCUAGUGCUAGUAACUCAGAAAAUUUAACAACCACUGAUCCAUUCACUAUUAAAGAAAAUGUUAUAAACUCAUUUGGACUGAGGUGUUAAUUGUUAUUUUUAAGGUUAAUGGUUAUUAGUUGUUCUUGAUCUUCUAGGAUAACAUUUGCAUUUUAGGCUUUAAAAAAAAUCCCAAAUGUCCUUAAACCUGAAGGACUUGGUUAGAUAAAUAUUUUGGGGAAUGAUGGCAAAGCCUGCUGUGGCAAUUUUUUGAUAGGGUGAAUACCAGUACUGGCUGAUCCUCCCACUCAAGAAACACACUUAAAUCCAGUGUUGGCUUUGGGAAUGCUGAGAAAACAUUGGCUUUGGGAAUAGAGAAAGAAAACAUCAGUAGAAAAAUGAAAAACAGAAGUGAUUUGAAGGACAGCUUUAGGCUUCACCAUAUUCUGUACCCAUUAAAUAACUCCCCAUUUUUCCCUACUCCCAGUCCCUGACAACCACCAUUUUAAUUUCUAUUUUUAUGAAUUUGACUAAUCUAGAUAACUUCAUGUAAUUAAAAUCAUACAACUUUUACCUUUUUGUGAUUGUCUUAUUUUAUUUAGCAUAAUGUCAUUAAGAUAUAUCCAUGUUUAACCCAUGCCAGAAUUUUCUUCCUUUUUAAGGCUGAAUAGUAUUUCGUUAUGUGUAUACACCACAUUUUGUUUAUUCAUUCAGCUAUGGAUAGAAACUUGGGUUGCUUUUAUUUUUCGCUAUUGUAGACAGUGCUGCCGUGAGCAUGGGUAUGCAAAUAUCUCUUCAGGAUCCUGCUUUCAAUUCUUCUGGAUAAAUAUAAAGAAGUGAGAUUGCUGGAUCACAUGACAAUUCUACUUUUUAUUUUUUGAGGAACUUCCAUACUGUUUUUCACAGUGUCUGCACAAUUUUACAUUCCCACCAACAGUGUACAAAGGUGUCAAUUUCUCUGCAUCCUCACCAGCACUGGUUAUUUUCUGGGUUUUUUUUUUUUUCUUUUUGAUAGUUGCCAUUUUCAUGGGUGGGAGUGAUAUCUCAUUGUGGUUUAGAUUUGCAUUUCUCUAAUGAUUAAUGAUGUUGAGUAUCUUUUCAUAUGUUUGUUGAUCAUUUGCAUAUCCUCUUUGGAGAAAUGUUUAUUCUUUUGCCCAUUUUAAAAUCAAGUUUCAAUGCUUCCUGCUAUUUAUUUUAAAUGUGCUUUACAAGUUAGAACUUGUGAAUUUUGACCAGCAUGAUGUAAUGCCACUCAGCAUGGCUUUUCAGGCUGGUGUCGGGCUGGUAGAAGGAUGAGUUAGAAUGAGCAAGGCCAAAACUCAGAGUUCAGACAGGGGCAGGGGAAGAUAGAUAGUCCAGAGAGAAUCAUUCCUUUCUUCCUUCAUGCAAACACACGUGCAAAUAGCAAGGAUUUGUUCCAUGCUGCCAUGUGCUAGGCACUGAGCUAGAGAUAUGAAAAGGGACACAAAGUGGGACAGGAUACCUUUGGGGUUUGGAAGGUAGAAUCUGCACUUAGACUGCUUGGGUGUGAAUUUUAGCUGCAGUAUCUGCAGCGUGUGGACAUAUUUUGACUGGGUUACAUCAUAAAGAGCUUUUAUCUCAUGCUAAGGGCUUACUUGUAAAGCUGUAAGACUGGGACCCAUUGAAGGGUUUUAGGUAUUACAAGCUUCAAAGAAAAACAAAUGAAAUAAUCUAAACUUUUAAGGAAACUAUCAUAGAAAGACAGAUUUAGAAAACAGAAAGGGGAAUAAAAUCCCCCUAAAAGCAAGGGCUGUAAUGGACACAAUUAAAUGCUAGGGUCUUGGUUCUAUAGUUCUAUAGUUGACUAGUUAUAUGACCUGACAAAGUCAUUUUAACUCUCUGGCCCAAGGUUUUCUUAUAUAUAAAACAGGGAUAAUGCCUUACAAAACUUAAAAAAAAUAAUUAACUAAGAAGAUGUACUCAAAAGUGUAUUGCAAGGGUUUCUUUUUUAAUUUUUCUUUCUUUUUUUUUUUUUUUUUUUUUUGGCACACAGGAGCAGUAUGCUGUGUUUUAAAGGACAUUUUAAAAAUUGGCUUGGUUUCCUCUACUCACACCAUUUUAGCCCCCGCAUUUGGGGCUAUUUCACCCUCAUUUGCAAGCUUAGACCCGAGCCAGGGUCUGAGAUUCAUCAGGCUCCAACCCAUGCCAGUUUAGUUUUUUUCUGAUGUUUUUCUUUUUUUUCCCCCCAGAAAUUUGGCUAUUAUACUUUAAAAAAAAAAAAAAAUCUUGCUUAGACUGUUUGCUCCCCUAUUUUCUUCUUCCCUUUCCCCUCAGCAUCAUGUAUUGGAAAAAAGGUGAAAGUCUGGAUUAAUGAAUCCAAAAAUUAAUGUUACCUUGUAUUUUUACCUGUAUUGUUACUUGUAUUUUUCUAAGGCACCAUAAUCACACUACAAAGAGGUGAAGACACACAACACUACAGUGAAGGAUAGAAUGCUAGUUCCAGUUUGAUUUUCAUUAUUUUUCAAGAUUUUCUUUGGCGCUGAGUAUUCUGUUGAAAAUUUUUUUACACUGAAAUAUCAGGAGAUAGAGUUUUAGGAGAAUACACAACCAGGUGUAUGCCCUGGACAGUCUAUCUCAGAAACACAAAUGUUUUGUUCUUUCCAGAAGGGAAAGAAGAGAGCAGCAACUGGCCACCUGGCACUCCUGCAACUCCUCUCUGAUCAGGAAGGAAACUGCCUGGGCUCCUGUGGAAAAUUAGCUUAUUCUCAUGGCUUUGGAAUAUGUUUCUCCAUUCAUUAAGAAUAUCUUUCUAUCAGAAUGGG
rnacentral:lncRNA from 1 species